rnacentral:rRNA from 1 species
GAUGAACGCUAGCGACAGGCUUAACACAUGCAAGUCGAGGGGCAGCAUAAAAGUAGCAAUACUUUGGUGGCGACCGGCGCACGGGUGAGUAACGCGUAUGCAACCUACCUAUCAGAGGGGGAUAACCCGGCGAAAGUCGGACUAAUACCGCAUAAAACAGGGGCACCGCAUGGUGAUAUUUGUUAAAAAUUUAUUGCUGAUAGAUGGGCAUGCGUUCCAUUAGGUAGUUGGAGAGGUAACGGCUCACCAAGCCUACGAUGGAUAGGGGAACUGAGAGGUUGGUCCCCCACACUGGUACUGAGACACGGACCAGACUCCUACGGGAGGCAGCAGUGAGGAAUAUUGGUCAAUGGGCGAGAGCCUGAACCAGCCAAGUCGCGUGAAGGAAGAAGGAUCUAUGGUUCGUAAACUUCUUUUGCAGGGGAAUAAAGUGCAGGACGUGUCCUGUUUUGUAUGUACCCUGAGAAUAAGGAUCGGCUAACUCCGUGCCAGCAGCCGCGGUAAAACG